AGAGAGAUAGAGCAUUUUUGGGAAAGAAAAAGAAAACAUCAAGAUGUACAGAGUUUUUGGGAAAAAGAGAAAAAAGUAAUACAGGAAGAAAUAGAGAUCCUCUUGGAAAGAGAGAAGAAAUGCAAGUGAAGAGAAAGUGAUAAAGUUUGAGAAGACAUAAAUAUCUGACAACUGAAUACACUUAAACAGUGAGAAGAGAUAAGGAUGUAGAGAAAACAUAAUUGUUUAUUGUUUUUAGAUAUAAUUCGGUCGGUUGGGAUUUUUCAGUUCUAUCAUAUUAAAAUCCAUUGCCGACCAAGAAAUUACUUUUUCCCAACGUUGGAGCCCGCAGCCAACCAUUGACUCUUUUGAAACCGUCUGUUUUUGGUUUUUACGGUUCGGAUUGGUUGGUUUGGGCGGGUGAUUUGGAUAUUUGAACCACCCUAGAAGUGUUCCAGCCAUACAAAGACAAUAAAGUAGACCUUCUUGGGCCCAAACUACUGUUCAUUGCCCUUAAUUUAGGGGGCUUAGCACUAGGUGUAUGGAAGCUUAACUCAUUGGGUCUUCUUCCAACCCAUGCAUCAGACUGGGUUUCAUCCUUGCCCCCUGCUCAGAGAGUUGAACCACUAGAAGCUGUAAUUGAUUUGAACAGAUUGCAUGGUUUCUUGGUAUUGCAUAAGUUGCAUUGCAUUGUGGUUGAAAAAUAAAUCGGAUUUACUGGAGGAGAAAAUGAAGAUAUGAAAAGCAAAAUAUAAAAGAAUGGUUCCACCUAGGGAGAUCUGGUUUUCCAUAAAGAAUGCAGAUAUCCAAUCUCAAAUUCUACUUGCCACUGGAGAUGUAUUGAACACCUGAGGUUCAUGCAAUUAAAAGGGUUGCAUUUAUGUGCUUAAUCUCUUCCUAAGUAAUUUUAAGAUCUUAUCAUUGUCAUUCUGAAUUCAUCUUGUAAUUAACUGGUGGUUGAAUUAGUCUCUA